AUCCUUAGAGAAUCAAACUGAAAAUUUGUUAAUAAAAUAGGUCUCUUUUCUUCAAUGAGAUGAACACUUAACCUCGUACAUCCAGGAAAUUUUGAGUCAUGGAAUGUUCACUUCCAUUUCUAUUUAUCUCGAGUUACUGAACAUAGCGCAAUUUCAACGUUAUUUGUUCUAGUCUUUAUAAAACUUAUUCAGAAGACACAAACAAGAAAUGAAAUACUUUAGAAGCUUGUAAAAGCUAUUUGAAAGAAUUAAUUUUUGAUAAAAGAUGAGAAAUUUUUGUAGGAGAGACUGACGAAGUUACAGAUGGCAAAAAUUCAAAUUCUCGAUGGAUCUUUCCUAAAUUUCGCUAAGAAUUUUCUUAAUAUAAUAUGCUUAGCACGUUUUAAGUUACCAAAAUAGCAUCUACAAGUAUCUUGCAAUUGCCUAGGAAGGAAAGCUUGCCAUGUAUGCACAGCCUCGAAUAAAAAUCGAUAGAAAGAGACCCAUUCCGCCUCUUGUUUUCGAACUGACUUUAUAAAUAAACAACGAGAAGCACAUUGUGGCGGGUAUCGUUGAUGGACAACAUGUUUAUAGCCGUUGGAACAGAGGGAACUUGAUGAAUCGAACAGUUGUUGAGAAGAACGGGAGAUUGGUCGUUAAAUGUAGCGAAGAACGCAAUCAUUAUCGGAAUUUAUCUGGAAGUUGAAGGGGUGUGCAUGCUGAGAUGUUUCUCCCGAGAGUCCAGACUCGAAUGGGGGGCGUCACCGAUAACAUGUUUUGGAAUUCGAAAUGGAACUGUCCGAAGGACAAUGAUUAUUAUCCAAGGAGGAAAAGGAGCGUGCGAAGAGACACAGGAAAUAUCGAUGUUUAGUGACAAGCAAGAAGCCCCACGAAUGGUGCGAAUCACCUUAAUUUCUCGUUUCUCAAUUUCUGAAUGACGGUAUGAUUAACGACGAGCACGAUAGCGACCACGGGGAUCUCCGUAAAUAUCUAUUCAUCACGUUGAAAUUACGAAAAAGCAGGCUGAGCCGUUGAUAAUCGACUUUUCUUGAGGGAAGGCGAGGUUAGCUAUAAUCAGGAAAAGAAAUCAUGCCAGUAAUUGCAUUACUGGUUUACUACGGCAAAAUAAUGUUCAUCGCCAAGAGAAAAUUUGUUAUUCUUAUACGUAUUACUUUUGAUUUUAAUUUUAUUAUCUAAGAUGUUUUUUUGGUUAGCUAUGGACAGGGAUCCAGAUUGUGCAACUUGUGAAAGAACGAUGAUUGAUAAUUAUGCGGUUUAUGUAGACUUUCCCUAAUUUUCACUAUGUAAUUCUCUCUUUUUUUUUUUAAGCUUUCUCUUAUCAUCAAAAUACGAAAUUUCAAUGAGUAGGGAGCUCGAGAAAUGAACCUACGUUUUAUUAUUUUAUUCAGGAAGAGUCAAAUUUUAAAAUUUCUUCCAUAUUUCGUCAAACUAAAUAAAGAUGUAUUUUAGAUCUACUUAUGCUAGUUUUUAAGUUUAAUUCACAUAAUGUUUAACGUUUACCAAAGAAGGUUGGGUUAAGUUUUAGUAAAUUUAUUUAAACGCGCAUUUGAAUGAACGAAAGUAUGUAACCUCGUUACGUUUAAAGAAUAGUUGGCCCAAAUCUAACCUAAUCUAACGCAACAUAAUCUGACCUAACCUAACAUGACCUAAUUUUUUUUUUUUAUA